rnacentral:misc_RNA from 1 species
CACCACCAUAUGCACGUUGCACACAUCCUCAUAUGGUCUCAUGCACUAGUACCAGUAACAGUAUUCCCCCAACUCUUCCCCCAUAUAGAAGAUCGGCAUUACAAUUUUUCCACAGCUUAUAAAGCAUGAUGCACAAAUAGAUUCAGACAGAGCAACUCACCCCAAAGCACAUAAAAGUAAUAGAACUUUUAACAAUUUACAGAUUUCUUAGCUACUACCAUGACUGCUCAUUGGACUGCUGCAAAGAAGUGCGCAGUGUGAGUUGAGACACUCCUGACCUUUCCGUUGCUUAAAAAAAAAAUUAUGGUUAUUGUUUUCUAUUGAUGGGAAACCAGAGACCAAAACUAUAAAAGCAAUACUCUCCAUGAGAUCAAACCACCACUUCUCACAAUGAUUCCAAUUUUUCUUGGAUGAUCCAAUUAAGACUACGUGAUAUCAGUAGACCAUUGCAUAAUUCAUUUGAUAUGCGUUUUCGAUGGAUACAUUUUUAG